rnacentral:rRNA from 1 species
AUACGGAGGGUGCAAGCGUUACUCGGAAUCACUGGGCGUAAAGCGCGCGCAGGCGGCUAUUUAAGUUGGAUGUGAAAGCCUACGGCUCAACCGUAGAACUGCAUCCAAAACUAUUUAGCUAGAGUGUGGGAGAGGAAGAUGGAAUUAGUUGUGUAGGGGUAAAAUCCGUAGAGAUAACUAGGAAUACCAAAAGCGAAGGCAAUCUUCUGGAACACUACUGACGCUGAGGCGCAAAAGCGUGGGGAGCAAACAGGAUUAGAAACCCCAGUAGUCC